GCCGAAGCUCAAUGAGCAACUCCCGGGAGCAAACAACAAUGUUUUGGAUCCCGUUUUUCAGGACAAAUUCGUGGAAUAAGAUCACUCACCAUUGAGUAUCCGAGUCUUUCUGAGAGAGAGGGGCCAAUCUGAAUUUACUUAUGGUGACCGUCAGAUCUUAAUCUGUGCUGGACAAGUGUCACAGGUGACACAGAAUAGAAGGCCACAGAGCAGACAUGGCAGAGGGCAAGGCUGCCUGGG